rnacentral:rRNA from 1 species
GAUGAACGCUGGCGGCGUGCCUAAUACAUGCAAGUCGAGCGAACAGACGAGGAGCUUGCUCCUCUGACGUUAGCGGCGGACGGGUGAGUAACACGUGGAUAACCUACCUAUAAGACUGGGAUAACUUCGGGAAACCGGAGCUAAUACCGGAUAAUAUAUUGAACCGCAUGGUUCAAUAGUGAAAGACGGUUUUGCUGUCACUUAUAGAUGGAUCCGCGCCGCAUUAGCUAGUUGGUAAGGUAACGGCUUACCAAGGCGACGAUGCGUAGCCGACCUGAGAGGGUGAGCGGCCACACUGGAACUGAGACACGGUCCAGACUCCUACGGGAGGCAGCAGUAGGGAAUCUUCCGCAAUGGGCGAAAGCCUGACGGAGCAACGCCGCGUGAGUGAUGAAGGUCUUCGGAUCGUAAAACUCUGUUAUGAGGGAAGAACAAAUGUGUAAGUAACUAUGCACGUCUUGACGGUACCUAAUCAGAAAGCCACGGCUAACUACG